AUGCAACAGUCUCCGUUCGAGAAUAUUUUCAAUAUUAUAGGUGGCAUAACAGAGGGCAAUGAGAAACCCAUGAAACAUGGAUUUUAUAAUGCUUUUGCUUUAUUUAUACUAGCAGUAUGUUGUGCAGCUGUUUAUGUACUAUUUCUUAUCCUAGAACCAUUCUUCAAGCCUUUGUUUUGGGCUUUAUUGGUAGGUUCAAUACUGCAUCCCUUCAAGUAUAGACUCUCUCAAAAAUUGAAAACAUGGUUUGAGGAUCUGGAGAAAUCAAACACAUCUGUGAUAUUUGGAUUAAUGGUCAUACCAGUGAAUGUUGUUAACUUGGCAUCGGAUACUGUUGGGCAUCAGUUUAAAGAACAUUACAAGACUGUAAUAGGCCUGUUGCUGUCAAUUUUUGUGCUGCCAUGGCUGUACAACUCAGUGCCAAGGAGUUUUUCCUGCAUCUUCUGGCAGUUCACGAGUUUUAUCCGAUUCUCCACUACAAUGCUCAUAACCUUAUGCAGCUCCUAUAUUACUUUAACAAUAGUCCUGGCGUAUCUCAUAAGUGUGUUCACACUAUGGACACCGCAACGAGCCAUGAUGUUUCGAACCACUUCUGCUCUCCUUUGGCUUGUGAUCACGAGCUUCCUCGCUAGUCUGUGUGGCUCGUUCCAAGUUUAUGUGUUUGUGAUACUACAGACUAUAUGCAUUACAGGAUUCUUUUUGGAGGUUUUGGAUGUACAAAAGAAAUUGUUAGUUCAUGAUCCAGAUGCCUCUAUGAUCACAGCAAUACAUGAAGUUUUCACUAAUGGUCAGAAAGAGGUCACACAAAAACUUAUUGAGGAUAAGUCUCAAGAAACUAGUCACCCAACUCCCAGUGACCAGGAGUCAACUCCUGAAAAAGAUACUCCAUCACCAAUCACCCCAGACCCGGUGCAAAGAGGAAGCUGGUCUACCGCUGAACCCACACAAAGCUCACCAAGGCAUAAUGUUAAAAAGUUAUACAAAACAAAAACAUUGUCUGAUCUACCCAUUGGUAAAAUGAAGUCAGCGUACGAAAACAGGUUGAUUGCAGCCUUUAAGCAAAGAUCUCUAGAUGAGAAUUAUAUGAAAAAUAAUUUUAAUAAUGAUGAAGAAACUGCCUUGUAUUUUAAAUUAUUGUUCUUUGGAUGUUUCUGUAUGUUGGUAUUCAAACACAUAUGGCUGUUGCCUGUUCUCUUGUUCUUUCUGGCUAUACAUGUUUUGAAGAGGCUGCUGGAGUAUUUCGGAGUUUGGUUGUUCUUUGAAAACCAAUACAAUAAUGUUAUGGGAAAAAUUAAGAACUGGUGGAAUCAAAGAGAAUCAGCGUUAGUCCCAGCGCACAUUCGCGGCGUCGGUAAAAUGAUGUCAAUAUGCAAUAAUAGCAUGCGAGAGAUGGGCUAUGGCUCAGUGGACACUGUCUCUAGUUGCUUCGUCAUCAUUGGACUCAUAUUGUUCCUCACUGUCGCCAUCAUAUUUAUAUGUAUACAGAUAUACUCGGAAGCAAUAGUAGUGGUGCAAUUAAGCGGUAGUUUACUCAACAGUACUUUUGUACAAAAUAGCGAGCUGCACGCAUAUCUACCUGAAGGCUGGGAGGAGAAACUAGACUCGCUCAUUGACAACGCCUAUACCUACGGGAGGGAAGGAAUCUCUACAGCGGUCAAGAGUAUACUUAAAGAGGGUGAUCCUGAGAAGAUUGCUCGCGUGGAGCAGCAAAUCCUGGAGAUUUGGGACCGCGUAUACCAGAGCUGGGUUUCUGGGCACUUCACCUCACCAGUGGGGCCUCAGGUCGACGGCACCGCCAUACAGGAUUCCUGGGAGAACUUCGUCAAUGAUUUCACUAAAACACCAGGUCUAUUCGAUUACUCUGGGCUGGUAUCGUGGGUUCAGGCUAACGUGGGUACGCUUAGUGCUAUAGCGAGCAGCAUAUGGGCCCCACUGGCGAGCAACGUGUCUCUCCUGGCCGGUUCCGUGGGAGCGUUCACAUCACUAUUGCUGUGCGGAGGUGGCGCCAUCAUUAACAUGUUUAUCAAUUUGGUGGUGUUCUUCACGACUCUCUUCUACCUGCUUGCAUCCAGCAACGCUUUAUACAAACCCGUGGAAGUCAUCACACAAGUACAGCCCAACUUCGGACCGAGGCUCGGGAUAGCUCUCUCUGUUGCGAUUAAUCAGGUUUUCAGGGCCUCAUUCAAAAUGGCAUUAUUCUACGGGCUAUGGACAUGGCUAGUCCACAAUCUGUUUGGCGCUAAAGUCGUAUAUCUGCCAUCAGUACUUGCAGCAGUGUUGGGCGCUGCGCCCUUCCUCGGUCCUUACUUAGCGGGAAUUCCUGCUGCUUUGGACGUAUGGCUACAAGGCCGGCCAAUGAUGGCACUCCUGCUUCCUAUAGCACAAGCGGCGCCUAUAGCCUUCCUUGAUGCGGCUGUAUACGCAGAAAUAAAGGAUGGAGGCCACCCGUACGUGACGGGUUUGGCCAUCGCGGGCGGUAUCUUCUACCUCGGCCCAGAAGGUGCGAUCCUCGGUCCACUGCUAUUGUGCUGCCUCAUGGUAGUCCUGAAUCUCUCCUCCACCUUCCUUAGGGAUACUCCAUCAGAAGAAAGAGCGGCGUUGCACUCGAGAGCGAGGUAAAUUGCAUCAGAACCUGAAUAAAUUAGUUGUGGCGAUACACGCAAAAUGACUAGGGGUCUAUUCGCGAAAUUUUUAACAUAAUCUAAACUUCUUUGUUUCCCGUUUCGAUUAGCCUCAAAGAAAGAAUCAUAAGAGAAUUCAAUGUUCGUAAAUCAACCACUCAGUUCGGACCCAUUUUGUGUGGAACGCCAUAUCUAAAUUUAGUGGCCACGUAACGAAUGAGGUGUUAUGGUUUAAUAAUUAUUACAAAAAUUUGAUGUUUUCAAGCAUCAUGUCUUAUAUAUGAAGGCAAAAUUAAUCAUAAGGUCUAUACCAUUUCAAUUUAAAGGAUAUUUUGUUAUGUUUUCUCUUACAAAAUAAGAAUUUACUUUGGUCACAUUCAAAGUACUAUUUAAUAGUAACUUAAAUAUUACUCCGUUAAAAAUAAUAUUAAUGUCAUAAAUUUCAUUGUUUAAAAAUUUACGAGUUAGUUAUUGUAUGUGUUUGUGUUCAAUUUAUUUCAUAUUUUUUUGCAUCCCAAAGCCCCAUUCGUAUACGUUUGUAAAUAAUACUCGAAGAGUGGAUUUUGUUUGGCCAAAUAACUCUAAACUUUUGAUAAUUCUAUUUGUAUUUUUCUGAUUUAGCUCCUUAUUGGGAUGUUUUAUAUAAAAAGGUGUGUAUAAUGUUACUAAAUAUGCUGUAGUGUAUAAAUGUGAACUUACUUUAAGCAGAAGAUGUAAACAAAAUUUGCUAAACGAAUUGAGUGAUCGAAUCAAAAUUUUAUUUAUACCUACUAACUAGUAGUAGUACUAAAAAGUAACGAAUUUGUAUUCGCAACACAUUUUGCAAAACGUUAUAAUCUGUUUAUAGAAAAGGACAAGCUGACUACGAAUAAUACACGUAGGUAUUGUUAUAUCAACGAACAGAUUACGUCAAAGUUUAUCUUUUUAAUAACUUACUAAAUGCAAUUUUAAAUAACUAAAUCGUUUUUAUUACCACUGAACAAAUUCAUUAAAGAACACACUGAUAAUAAGAUUGUAUUGCUGCCUAUUUUGACUAUAAAUAAUAUUUUCUUUGUGUAACACUAAUGAGAAAAAACUAAUAAUAAGGUCAGCAUAGGUACAAGUUAGGUCAUAGGUACAAGCGUUUUUAGGACCGUAGAGGAUACUGAAUUUUUGACGUGGCGCAACAUUUUAAUACUUUUAUUACAUCUUUGGUAAUUAUAUAAUAAGUAAAGAUAUUUUUCUGAUUUAUAUACGCCUUAUAUCAGGUACGCAAAAUCAAAACUUGAUAUUGCUUCCAUAUAUUGAUAAUCAUAUAAUAAGUAUGUAUUAAUGAUUACAGAAUAUUUUUAAUCAUCAUCAUCAUUAACAAUAAUAAGUCACGGAUUCCUCCACCAUCUUCGAGGAGAUUUGGGUAUUACCACUAUUAAAGUCUGAUUUAUAAUCAAUAUUUUGCGUAUUUGGUAAACGACGUAUAAUUAUUUUUUAACUGGUUUGGCUUUGUUCAUAUAUUUUAUAUCCACGUUGUGCACCCUUGCGCGCUUGCUGAUUGCGUGAGAUUAUAAAGGCUGGGUGUAUAUUUCUGACGGGCUUGCAUGGAAGACUAACGCUAAUACACUCAUUUUGUCGAUGAUUUGUUUGUAGGCAAUUAAUUUAUAUAAUAAUUGGUAACACUAUUUGUUGAGGGUAUAGUUUAAUAUGAACGGUUUAAUGUGUGGAAGAAUCUACGGGUUUUAGUAUAAUGUGAAGCGAGUCAAGAAAGAAUGAAAAUGGCUUUUAGACGAUUAUGCAUCUAUUCUCGAACCUACUUAACUCUCGUUAGUAGCAUCGGGCAUGUGUAAUUAAAAAUGUAACAAAGCAGCGAAACUAAUUAUUUUUGUAUUUAUAUAUUCACAUCAUAACUGACAAUG
rnacentral:misc_RNA from 1 species